rnacentral:lncRNA from 1 species
CUCAGCUGGAGGAGAAUGUGAAUGAGACAACACUAACUGUCAGCAAAGCCCCUUCGAAAGAGGUGCUGCCUGUUCCAGUUGUGCAUUCAUAUAGCAAUUAAGAAAUCUAGAAGCUUACCUAAGUUUGCUUAGGAGAAAGAACUGAAGAAAGUGGUCCUAAAAUACCAACAUCUGGAAAACAAGUAAUGCAACUCCAUGUUUAAGUAUUGCUUUAAUAAAAAUAAAAACAAAUAAAUAAAUAAUAAUAAUAAUAAUAAUUAAUAAUAAAAAGAUUGCAAGCUUUUUAGCUGCAGUGUGUAGGCAAGCCCUUGCAAAUAAAGAAUGCUUCCUCUAAACCACGAAUAUAUUUGCAUCAUGAAAACAGACACUGCACUUACCCUUGCACAGCUAAGGAGCAGUUAGCUUGGAAAAGCUCCUUGUGGCCCAGGGGAACAUCACCCACCCAGGAAGGAAAACAGCAGCAGCAGCCCACUGGCCACAGAGGGGAGCAAGGCACAGGAAGGCUCACAGCUGCUCUCCUGAGAGCAAGGAUCUGCAAGGCAGCCUGGCUUCAACCAGCUGGAGAAAAUCAACUGCUUUCCUCCAAGAGGCUAUAAAUGGCUGAGGAGGUGCAUGUGCUAUGGGAGCAGGCAGGAUGGCCUGAGGGAAGAGGUGGGGUGUUUGUAUGGGGGUGUGGUGAGCCUCAGCACAAGCAGUAUGUGGAGGAUGUGGGGCUGUAGCUGCCUGGCAGGCACCAAAGGAGUGGUGUGGAAGUGGCUGACCUGUCCUCCCAGGCCACGUGAAGGACCCAUAGUGGAGAUGUCUUUCCCUGCCUCCUUUCCAGCAGUGCCCUGCGCAGCCUGGCCCCUCGUUAGCGGGAGGGGGCUCCUGCAGAAGGCUGUCCUCCUGGCACGAUCCGUGCAGCUCCAUCGCAGUGCUGCUCUUCCAAGCUGUGCAGCUCACUCCCACACUUGCUUUGUGGAGCAUGCAGUUUCCCUGCUUCCAAGAAGCAGUAAUACAAAAUAAGAGUACAAAGGUCUGGAGAGGGUCAAUGGGGCUGUAGAAGGAGUCUUACAGCAAGAAUAAAGACAGCUCUAGCUCUUACUCUGAUGAAAGG